rnacentral:lncRNA from 1 species
AUGCUCAGGCAGUGUGCUAGGGAACACAUGCACCAGCAGCCCCCAGGCACAGCUGUGUCUUUGUACUGGACAGCCUACCACAGGUUCUGCUAUCUAGGACACGAGACAGUAUGUGAGAUGCAGGGUUACCAUGCCAAGCCCAUCUGGCUCACAGGACGGAGCUUGCUGUGUGAGGUCGGUCUGACCCUGAGAGGAGGCUGUGGAGGGGGGACAGAUGGCAAACUACCAUUUUGGAAAGGCCACUUGCAAGUCUGCAUCUACACUGCCCACACUGGGCACCUGCUGCAUGGAGAUUCACUGCAGAGAAUGCAGCAUGACCCUUUUCAGACAAAGAAGCCCACUACUCCCAAACAGCCCAAAAGUGACUGGAACUGGAAGAACACAGAAGCAGCUUUCCUCUCAAGCUCAGAUUUUCUUUUAUUCCCUAUUCUGCAUGGGCAGGUUACUAAGGACAAAUCACAAGUCUCUUACUUGGGCUGA